UCAAGUUAUUAAGGGUGCAGGGCGGAUGCCUUGGCACUAGGAGCCGAUGAAGGACGUGAUAAGCUGCGAUAAGCUUCGGGGAGUUGCACGUAAACUUUGAUCCGAAGAUUUCCGAAUGAGGAAACUCACUUAGAGUAAUGUCUAAGUAUCAUUAAGUGAAUACAUAGCUUAAUGAGGGGAACUCAGGGAACUGAAACAUCUAAGUACCUGAAGGAAGAGAAAGAAAUUCGAUUCCGUAAGUAGCGGCGAGCGAACGCGGAUUAGCCCAAACCAAUAAAGUUUUCUUUAUUGGGGUUGCGGACAUAUCAUAACGAAGAGGUAUCGUAAUUGAAGAGGUUUGGAAAGACCCACCACAGAAGGUAAUAGUCCUGUAUGUUAAACGAGAAGACUUUAGAUAUGAUCCAGAGUACCACGGGACACGUGAAACCCUGUGGGAAGCAGGAGGGACCACCCUCCAAGGCUAAAUACUACCUAGUGACCGAUAGCGUAUAGUACCGUGAGGGAAAGGUGAAAAGAACCCCGGGAGGGGAGUGAAAUAGAACCUGAAACCCUGCACUUACAAGCUGUGGAAGCACAUUUCUUGUGUGACCGCGUACUUUUUGUAGAACGGGCCAACGAGUUACGUUAAGUAGCAAGGUUAAGCACUUAAGGUGCGGAGCCGUAGCGAAAGCGAGUUUUAACUGAGCGUUCAGUUACUUGACGUAGACCCGAAACCGGGCGACCUACCCAUGAGCAGGAUGAAGCGAAAGUAAAAUUUCGUGGAGGUCCGAACCCACGAGCGUUGAAAAGCUCGGGGAUGACUUGUGGGUAGCGGUGAAAUUCCAAUCGAGCCCGGAGAUAGCUGGUUCUCCCCGAAAUAGCUUUAGGGCUAGCCUCAAGGUGAGAGAUACGGAGGUAGAGCACUGAAUGUCCUAGGGGGUAUUGCACCUACCGAAGACUAUCAAACUCCGAAUGCCGUCAUCUUAUACUUGGGAGUCAGACUGUGGGUGAUAAGAUUCAUAGUCGAAAGGGCAACAGCCCAGAUCGUCAGCUAAGGUCCCUAAAUGUAAGUUAAGUGGUAAAGGAUGUGGGAUUGCACAGACAACCAGGAUGUUGGCUUAGAAGCAGCCACUCAUUCAAAGAGUGCGUAAUAGCUCACUGGUCGAGUGAUCCUGCGCCGAAGAUUUCCGGGGCUAAAACUUACUACCGAAGCUACGGCAUCAGUAAUGAUGGGUAGGGGAGCUUCCCAUACGGGUUGAAGCAUGACCGUAAGGACAUGUGGACAGUAUGGGAGUGAGAAUGUUGGCAUGAGUAGCGAGAUGUGGGUGAGAAUCCCACAGGCCGUAAACCCAAGGUUUCCAGGGGAAGGUUCGUCCGCCCUGGGUUAGUCGGGACCUAAGCUGAGGCCGAAAGGCGUAGGUGAUGGACAACAGGUUGAUAUUCCUGUACUACCGAUAACCGUUUGAGAGAAGGGAUGACACAGUAGGAUAAGCUAAGCACACUGUUGGUUAUGUGUGCCCAAGCAUUGAGGCAGUCAAAGUAGGCAAAUCCGCUUUGAUAAUGCUGGGAUGUGAUGGGGAGCGAAAUUUAGUAGCGAAGUAGCUGAUUUCACACUGUCAAGAAAAGUCUCUAUCGAGGUUAAAGGUACCCGUACCGCAAACCGACACAGGUGGGUGAGGAGAGUAUCCUAAGGCCAGCGAGAGAACUGUUGUUAAGGAACUCGGCAAAAUGACCCCGUAACUUAGGGAUAAGGGGUGCCACCAUCAGGUGGCCGCAGAGAAUAGGCCCAAGCGACUGUUUACCAAAAACAUAGGUUUCUGCUAAGUCGCAAGACGAUGUAUAGGAGCUGACGCCUGCCCGGUGCUGGAAGGUUAAGGGGAUCUGUUAGAGCAAUCGAAGCAGUGAACUUAAGCCCCAGUAAACGGCGGCCGUAACUAUAACGGUCCUAAGGUAGCGAAAUUCCUUGUCGGGUAAGUUCCGACCCGCACGAAAGGCGUAACGAUUUGGGCACUGUCUCAACAACAGACUCGGUGAAAUUGUAAU
rnacentral:rRNA from 1 species